rnacentral:lncRNA from 1 species
UUAAUGGUUCUAUUAAGUACUCAUUCAUUUUCUUUUUUUUCGAUAUUUACUGAAUGUCUAUGACAUGGAAGCAUUGAGUAGCAUUCAGGCAGCAUUUGGUUGUAAAGAAGACAACUUACUAGGUUCCUAUUUUCAUUGGGCUUAUGUUCUGGUGACAGAGAGAGACUUUAAACAUAUAAACAACAACAACAACAAAAAAAAAACACGAAUACACCAGGAAGCCAUUAGUGCUACAAAGAAAAGAAACAGUUGUAUUAGUCAGGUUUUCCAUCACUGUGACCAAAAUGCUUGAUAAAAACAAUUUAGAGGAAGAAAAGUUUAUUUUGGCUCACAGUUUCAGAGGUUCAGUUUGUGGUUAGCUAGCUGACUCUAUUGCUCUGGGCCCAAGGGGAGGCAGAACACCCUCGGGGAAAGACCUGGUGGAGAAAAUUUGCUUAGUUCAUGACAGCAGGAUACAGAAAGAGAGAAAAUGAGAGAGAGGGAAGGUCCACAGGAAAGAUGAACCCUUCCAUGGCAUGUUCCCAGUGAUCCACUUCCUCCAGUCAUGCCCACUUACCUAUAGUAACCACUUGAUUAGUCCAUUCAAAGUAGGAUGGACUGGUUAGGUGUAACCUAAUCAGCUCACCUCAGGAUAUUCCUGCAUUAACACAGGAGCUCUUGGAGAACACCUCAUAUCAAAAUCAUAACACAGGUGAAAUGAUAGAAGAGGAGGGACUUCCCUGGGCAGACAGUUGCUGGAUGCAGAUAUGAUUAAGUCAUGGUCUCAGUUUUUGAGGAAUGACAGGUUCACCUUGCUUUCAUUCUUGCCACCUCCCCAGUGAAAAGGAAAGGUGUUUUUAGGAAACAGUUUGAUAGAUAAUUCAUUUUCUUUUUAUUUUAGUUAGAACAUUUGUUCACAUACACAUUUAUAAUUGAGUAGGAUAUAAAUUUCAUAAUACAUCUAUUUUUGGUACUCAUUUCAUGAAAUAAUUAUUUUAAUUGUUCACUUGAAUCUUCAUUGUUGGAUGCCAGAUUCACUCAAGAGCACAAUUUAAGCACUUUUUGAAUCUAUGCAUGUCAGUCUUUUUUUCCCCCCAGCAAAGCCACAGCAUUUCUUCUCAUAAUGAGCUCACUUAUUCCAUUUUCAAAAAGGUGUCUACUGGCGAUACAGUAUAACAUUUAUGUAGGGCUCUUUAAAAUCAACUUUAAAAUGCUAGUUUACAAGCAUUCAUCACUUGCAAUACAAAAAUAAAAAUAAUUUGCAUUAAAUAUUUGUUUCUUUUUUAUUCACUCUUAACAGGUACCCACAUAUUCUAAACUAGAAUCAAUUAAGAAGACUUAGUUAAUCUUUUAAACAAGUAGCUCUCAACCAGUCCACAAAGAAAGGUCAUUUUCUUUUUAGAUUUAAAUUUUUUAAGCUUUUUUUUUUAAAAAAAAUUUGUUUAUAUUGUGAUCAGAUUCAAUCCAGGGCCUCCUACAUACUAGGCAAGCACUCUACCACUAAGCUAUAUCCCCAC